rnacentral:rRNA from 1 species
AGCUUGGAAGCAGCUAUUCAUUCAAAGAGUGCGUAACAGCUCACUAGUCGAGCGGCAAAGCGUGGAUAAUAAACGGGCAUCAAGUAUACCACCGAAGUUCUGGGCACGAAAGUGCGGUAGGGGAGCAUUCCAUUCCGCGUUGAAGCCGAACCGUGAGGUUUGGUGGAGUGUAUGGAAAAGCAAAUGUAGGCAUGAGUAACGAUAAUGCGGGAGAGUAACCCGCACACCGCAAGACCAAGGUUUCCUGAUCAACGCUAAUCGGAUCAGGGUUAGUCGGGUCCUAAGGGUAAGCCGAACGGUGAUCUCGAUGGAUAAUCGGUUAAUAUUCCGAUACUGACAUAUACCUCGAUGGAGAGACGAAGGAACGUAAGUGCCGCCACCUGACGGAAUAGGUGGUUAAAGGGCUUAGGUAUAGGGACAGAUUAAGAGUUAGUCCUUGCUGAAACCUGACAGUACAGAGAGCCUACGGGCAAUUUGAUAGUGCACCCAAGUCGACUUCCGAGAAAAUCUUCUAAGUUAUAGUAUAUGUCACCCGUACCGUAAACCGACACAGGUGGUCGAGGAGAGUAUCCUAAGGUGCUCGAGUGAAUCACGGUUAAGGAACUAGGCAAAUUAACCCCGUAACUUCGGGAAAAGGGGUCCCAUCGCGAGGUGGGCGCAGCGAAGAGGUCCAGGCGACUGUUUAUCAAAAACACAGGGCUCUGCAAAUUCGAAAGAAGACGUAUAGGGCCUGACACCUGCCCGGUGCUGGAAGGUUAAGAGGGGAUGUCAUCGCAAGAGAAGCAUUGAAUCGAAGCCCCAGUAAACGGCGGCCGUAACUAUAACGGUCCUAAGGUAGCGAAAUUCCUUGUCGGGUAAGUUCCGACCUGCACGAAUGGUGUAACGAUCUGGACACUGUCUCAACCGUGAGCUCGGUGAAAUUGUAGUCCCGGUGAUGAUGCCGGGUACCCGCAACGGGACGAAAAGACCCCGUGAACCUUUACUAUAGCUUAACGCUGAAUUUGGGUACACAAUGUGUAGGAUAGGCAGGAGACUACGAAGCGGGCACGCCAGUGUUCGUGGAGUCGACGUUGAAAUACUGCCCUUUGUGUACUUGAGUUCUAACCCUCGAGAGGGGACACCGUUUGGUGGGUAGUUUGACUGGGGUGGUCGCCUCCAAAAGAGUAACGGAGGCUUCCCAAGGUACCCUCAGCACGAAUGGUAACCGUGCGUAGAGUGCAAUAGCAUAAGGGUGCUUGACUGUGAGACCAACAAGUCGAUCAGGUGCGAAAGCAGGGUAUAGUGAUCCGGUGGUUCUGUGUGGACUGGCCAUCGCUCAAAGGAUAAAAGGUACUCCGGGGAUAACAGGCUGAUCGCCGCCAAGAGCUCAUAUCGACGCGGCGGUUUGGCACCUCGAUGUCGGCUCGUCACAUCCUGGGGCUGGAGAAGGUCCCAAG